rnacentral:rRNA from 1 species
UGCGCAGGCGGUUGUGCAAGUCUGAUGUGAAAGCCCCGGGCUUAACCUGGGAACGGCAUUGGAGACUGCACGACUAGAGUGCGUCAGAGGGGGGUAGAAUUCCGCGUGUAGCAGUGAAAUGCGUAGAGAUGCGGAGGAAUACCGAUGGCGAAGGCAGCCCCCUGGGAUGACACUGACGCCCAUGCACGAAAGCGUGGGGAGCAAACAGGAUUAGAUACCCUGGUAGUCCACGCCCUAAACGAUGUCAACUAGCUGUUGGGGGUUUGAAUCCUUGGUAGCGAAGCUAACGCGAGAAGUUGACCGCCUGGGGAGUACGGCCGCAAGGUUAA